rnacentral:misc_RNA from 1 species
GAUGAAGAACGUAGUGAAAUGCGAUACGUAGUGUGAAUUGCAGAAUUCAGUGAAUCAUCGAAUCUUUGAACGCACAUUGCACCUCUCGGUAUUCCGGGAGGUAUGCCUGUUCGAGCGUCAUUUGUACCCUCAAGCUCUGCUUGGUGUUGGGUGUUUGUUCCGCCUCUGUGUGUGAACUCGCCUCAAAACAAUUGGCAGCCGGCGUACUUGUUUCGGAGCGCAGCACAUUUUGCGAUCCAGAUCAACGUACAGCGGCAUCCAAGAAGCCUUAUUUAACGCUCUUGAUCUCGGAUCAGGUAGGGAUACCCGCUGAACUUAAGCAUAUCAAUAAGCGGAGGA